CCUACGGGUGGCAGCAGUGAGGAAUAUUGGUCAAUGGACGAGAGUCUGAACCAGCCAAGUAGCGUGAAGGAUGACUGCCCUAUGGGUUGUAAACUUCUUUUAUAUGGGAAUAAAACAGGGUAUGCAUACCCUCUUGUAUGUACCAUAUGAAUAAGGAUCGGCUAACUCCGUGCCAGCAGCCGCGGUAAUACGGAGGAUCCGAGCGUUAUCCGGAUUUAUUGGGUUUAAAGGGAGCGUAGGUGGAUUGUCAAGUCAAGGGUGAAAUCCCCGCGCUCAACGUGGGAACUGCCUUUGAAACUGGCAAACUGGAGUGUGUGAGAGGAUAGUGGAAUUCCAGGUGUAGGAGUGAAAUCCGUAGAUAUCUGGAGGAACAUCAGUGGCGAAGGCGACUAUCUGGCACAUAACUGACGCUGAGGAGCGAAAGCGUGGGUAGCAAACAGGAUUAGAUACCCCAGUAGUC
rnacentral:rRNA from 1 species